rnacentral:rRNA from 1 species
CCCRGAAUGUAAUACGACUCACUAUAGGGCGAAUUGGGCCCGACGUCGCAUGCUCCCGGCCGCCAUGGCGGCCGCGGGAAUUCGAUUAGAGUUUGAUCCUGGCUCAGGACGAACGCUGGCGGCGUGCUUAACACAUGCAAGUCUACGAGAACGAGGUAGCAAUAUCUUUAGUAAAGUGGCGCACGGGUGCGUAACACGUAAGCAAUCUACCUUUGGGUCUGGAAUAACUUCGAGAAAUCGAGGCUAAUACCAGAUAAUGCAGCGGCAUCGCAUGGUGAUGUUGUUAAAGUUUGAGUAAUGCCUAAAGAUGAGCUUGCGUCUGAUUAGCUAGUUGGUAGGGUAAUGGCCUACCAAGGCAACGAUCAGUAGCUGGUCUGAGAGGAUGAUCAGCCACACUGGAACUGAGACACGGUCCAGACUCCUACGGGAGGCAGCAGUGAGGAAUAUUGGGCAAUGCCCGCAAGGGUGACCCAGCAACGCCGCGUGGAGGAUGAAGGCCGUAAGGUUGUAAACUCCUGUUAGAGGAGAAGAAUAGUACCGAUUGGAUCGGUAUAUGACUGUACCCUCAGAGAAAGCCCCG